AGUGGGAUAGCUGGGUCAAAUGGUGAUUCCAUUCCAAGUUUUCUGAGGAAUCUCCAUACUGCUUUCCAAAGUGGUUGCAGUAAUUUGCAGUCCCACCAGCAAU
rnacentral:pre_miRNA from 1 species